CGUCUUGCAUUGACAGCUUAUAGCCCUGUCUGUACGGUGCUCCGGCGUGACCGAGGAAGCCGGGCAGCCCUUGCCCAUUGUGGUGCACGCCGAAUGGCGGGGCCUCCCGACAGGAGCAAACCGUGCGGUGUGGACUGCAUGCAGUGCUCACUGUUGCGGUGAACUCGUGCCGGAGAGUGCCACUGGUGUGCCAGUGCUGCUGGUGUUCAGAU
rnacentral:misc_RNA from 1 species